UCUGGAUAAGAAAAAUACUUUGCUCCCUCCACUGACUUGGGACUACUCAUUACUGCAGCUGUUAGAAUUCACUAUCCCACAGUUUUUCCCCAAAGCAAUCAUCUGUGGGACUACAGCAAACAAGAUCAUGGAAAUGGAGCAGGUUACAGUUCAUCCAAUACUGUGGUAUUUAUAUGAAGUGAACCUGAAAACCUAGGUGCAUAGGUGUCUGCAACAUUAAACAAGCAAAUAUGACAUCCAGUAUCUUCUAGUAGCCAGACAGCUGUGAUGUUGAAAAGAGCAGGAUUAAGGACUGACCAGAAGAUCAAGCAGAAGGAGAAUCUGGGAAAAGAAGCAGAGUAUUUGAAGAAAAUAUCGAUACUACAGAAACAAAGAGCAGAGUUGAUGCAUCAGCUGUAUUUGGAGUUGAAUAAAAAAAACAAAUAUGUGUUG